ACGGGUGAGUAACGCGUGGAUAACCUGCCGUAUACAGGGGGAUAACACUUAGAAAUAGGUGCUAAUACCGCAUAAGCGCACGGUUCCGCAUGGAACAGUGUGAAAAACUCCGGUGGUAUACGAUGGAUCCGCGUCUGAUUAGCCAGUUGGCGGGGUAACGGCCCACCAAAGCGACGAUCAGUAGCCGGCCUGAGAGGGUGAACGGCCACAUUGGGACUGAGACACGGCCCAAACUCCUACGGGAGGCAGCAGUGGGGAAUAUUGCACAAUGGGGGAAACCCUGAUGCAGCGACGCCGCGUGAGUGAAGAAGUAUCUCGGUACGUAAAGCUCUAUCAGCAGGGAAGAAAAUGACGGUACCUGACUAAGAAGCCCCGGCUAACUACGCGCCAGCAGCCGCGGUAAUACGUAGGGGGCAAGCGUUAUCCGGAUUUACUGGGUGUAAAGGGAGCGUAGACGGCAGCGCAAGUCUGGAGUGAAAUGCCGGGGCCCAACCCCGGAACUGCUUUGGAAACUGUGCAGCUCGAGUGCAGGAGAGGUAAGCGGAAUUCCUAGUGUAGCGGUGAAAUGCGUAGAUAUUAGGAGGAACACCAGUGGCGAAGGCGGCUUACUGGACUGUAACUGACGUUGAGGCUCGAAAGCGUGGGGAGCAAACAGGAUUAGAUACCCUGGUAGUCCACGCCGUAAACGAUGAUUACUAGGUGUCGGGGGGCCAAGGCCCUCCGGUGCCGCCGCAAACG
rnacentral:rRNA from 1 species